AUGCCUUACACAUGCAAGUCGAACGGCAGCACGGACUUCGGUCUGGUGGCGAGUGGCGAACGGGUGAGUAAUACAUCGGAACGUGUCCUGGAGUGGGGGAUAGCCCGGCGAAAGCCGGAUUAAUACCGCAUACGCUCUGAGGAGGAAAGCGGGGGAUCUUUCGGGACCUCGCGCUCAAGGGGCGGCCGAUGGCAGAUUAGGUAGUUGGUGGGGUAAAGGCCUACCAAGCCGACGAUCUGUAGCUGGUCUGAGAGGACGACCAGCCACACUGGGACUGAGACACGGCCCAG
rnacentral:rRNA from 1 species